ACUUAAAUAGCUUAUAUCUAGAGUUUAAUAUUGAAGAUAUUAAGGAAAUAAUUUUAUUUUUAAGUA
rnacentral:tRNA from 1 species